rnacentral:rRNA from 1 species
AUGCAAUCUACCUUUUGCAGAGGGAUAGCCCAGAGAAAUUUGGAUUAAUACCUCAUAGUAUGGAACAAUCGCAUGAUUGAGCUAUUAAAGUCACAACGGCAAAAGAUGAGCAUGCGUCCCAUUAGUUAGUUGGUAAGGUAACGGCUUACCAAGACUACGAUGGGUAGGGGUCCUGAGAGGGAGAUCCCCCACACUGGUGCUGAGACACGGACCAGACUCCUACGGGAGGCAGCAGUGAGGAAUAUUGGACAAUGGGCGCAAGCCUGAUCCAGCCAUGCCGCGUGCAGGAUGACGGUCCUAUGGAUUGUAAACUGCUUUUGUACAGGAAGAAACACCUCUACGUGUAGAGACUUGACGGUACUGUAAGAAUUAGGAUCGGCUAACUCCGUGCCAGCAGCCGCGGUAAUACGGAGGAUCCAAGCGUUAUCCGGAAUCAUUGGGUUUAAAGGGUCCGUAGGCGGUCUUAUAAGUCAGUGGUGAAAUCUCCCCGCUCAACGGGGAAACGGCCAUUGAUACUGUAAGACUUGAAUUAUUAGGAAGUAACUAGAAUAUGUAGUGUAGCGGUGAAAUGCUUAGAGAUUACAUGGAAUACCAAUUGCGAAGGCAGGUUACUACUAAUGGAUUGACGCUGAUGGACGAAAGCGUGGGUAGCGAACAGGAUUAGAUACCCUGGUAGUCCACGCCGUAAACGAUGGAUACUAGCUGUUGGGGGCAACUUCAGUGGCUAAGCGAAAGUGAUAAGUAUCCCACCUGGGGAGUACGUUCGCAAGAAUGAAACUCAAAGGAAUUGACGGGGGCCCGCACAAGCGGUGGAGCAUGAGUUUAAUUCGAUGAUACGCGAGGAACCUUACCAAGGCUUAAAUGUAGAUUGACCGUUUUG